rnacentral:lncRNA from 1 species
CAAACUUAAAAAAAGAGAACAAUUUUUAUUUUAUUUCCAUUAAUAUCUUCUCUUCUCUCUCUCUCUCUCUAUUACAAGAAGCAAAAGAUAAACACUUUCCGACAAGCCAGAGAAAAAGAUUGGAACCUUCAUUUCAUGGGUUGUUGUCAAUCCUUGUGUCCGGAUGAACAAAACCCACUUCGGAAAGAUGGAGCUCAGCCGCCACAACCGGCUCAAACCCACCGCGGCGGCGCUACGACGGCUGCUGGACUCGAUAACGGCGGAGAUGGAGGAGUAAUCCCGUCUUUCUCAGAGUUCUCUUUGGCCGACCUAAAAGCAGCCACGAACAACUUCAGCUCAGACAACAUCGUAUCAGAAAGCGGAGAGAAAGCCCCGAAUCUUGUAUACAAAGGCAGACUUCAGAACCGUCGCUGGAUCGCCGUCAAGAAGUUUACUAAGAUGGCUUGGCCUCAUCCUAAACAAUUCGCGGUACCAAAAAGAAAGACCCUUUGUAAGGCUAACGGGCUUUGGUCUUUUUAAUUUAAUUCAAUUCGGGAAAAAAAGAAAAAUACAAAAAGUCUAGUCAAUGAGAGAAGAACAAACCAUGACGACGUGAGCAUCACACCUGAAGCCUGAAGAUCUGUUUUGGUAACAACAUCCAUUCAGUUACGUCUUUAGUUUGAACACCCAAACUAACUACACACUAGACUUUUUAAAAAGAAUAAUUUAUAUUUUUUGUCAAAAAAAAAAAGAAUAAUUUAUUUUCCCCUAAACCAUAAUAAAUAUUAAAUCUUGACUUUCCAUACACCUAAUUCAUUUAUUAGAAAAAGAAGUCGUGUACAUUCCUCGUUUAUUUUCUGACGUUACCCGUUACCAUCAUGUAAUAAUGAGUGUCCAAAUCAAAUACUGUCGUUACGUAAUUAGAGACUAAAGGUAACGGUAUUCUGGAGAAUAUAACAAAAUGGUCAAAACGGGUCAAAGUUACCAUCAAACACAAAGCCAAAGUUAGAGUAGUACUAUACUUAAAAGACCAGAACUAACCGUAUCUUUGUUUUAAGAUCCAUGUCUUGUGUCUGAACCUCUCAAAGUACUAUCCGAGAUAAGGUUUUCACUUUUUUUUUUCUUCCGGAUUUGGGUAAAUUAAUUUGGUGAGAUUAAUAGUAAUUAAUUAGAUGAUAAAGAAGAAAACACCGACUGAUCCUGUGGAGAGAAACAGACGAAAAUCUCGGUGCUGGCAAAGAUUCCUUCACAGUCCUUUUGCUGUUUGUUUUCCCUUCUUCUUCUUCUUCAUUUUUGAACUAAAUCAUUCAUUUUGAUCUCUCUUUCUCUCCUAAAUUUGAAAUAAUACUCUCUCGAGAAAACAACCACUUCACUCUUUCUUUCUAUCACUAUCAACACACACCUUCUUUGCACCUUACUCGCCUCCCCUUCUUCCUCUCACCUACCUUUCAUCUCUCUCUAUCUCUCCCUAUUAUUUUCUCAAAUCUUGUCUUUCUUUUUAAUUUAAUUUUUUGUUGGUAAAUUAACUAGUGAUGGGUUGUACAAGUUCUAAGCUGGACGAUCUUCCGGCGGUUGCUCUCUGCCGUGAACGGUGCAAUUUCCUAGAAGCGGCGAUUCAGCAACGUUACCAUUUAGCCGAAUCACACGUGGCGUACACACACUCGCUUAAAGGAAUAGGUCACUCACUCCAUCUCUUCAUCAACCACCACCACCGUUUCGUCGCUUCUCCCAGACUCAACCUUCCUCCUCAAAGAAAAGGCGACCCCGAAGAACAAGAAAACAAAGGAGUAGAAAAUUCCCCUAAGAAAGCAAAGCUACCUUCUCCUCACCAUCCGGGUUCGGGUACUGAUUCGGGUCAUCUCGAGUUCGAUUCGGACUCCGAAGACGAUGAUGAAGAAUUCCAUUUGGAUUCGGACCACCACCACCAUCUCGGAAAUUUUGAAACCGGGCCUUACAUGGGAGCACAACCGGGUUAUACCCGGUACCCGAACCCGGAAAUGAUGGGUCAUCAUCUUCCUCCUACUCCUUAUAUGCACAUGAACUACAUGAAGAACAGUUCGAUGCCUCCUUCAGUCAUCUACGAGCAAAGACCAAGUAGCCCUCAAAAAGUCUACAUAGGCGAAUCAUCAUCUUCUUCUACUUACCCUUACAAUUCCGGACCCGGACCCGGACCCGGAUACUACGGUUCUUCAACUGAUGCUCCAGCCUCUAAACCGCCUCCGCCUCCGCCUCCUCCGUCCCCGCCUAGGUCCAACGGGUGGGAUUUUUUAAACCCGUUUGAUACUUACUAUCCUUCGUAUACUCCGAGUCGAGACUCGAGGGAGCUUAGAGAGGAAGAAGGUAUACCCGAGCUGGAGGAAGACGACGAUUCACAGUACGAGGCUGUUAAGGAAGUUCACGGUGGUGAUAAUCAACCGACUCCUGCUGUUGUUUACAGGGAAGAGUCUGAUUCUCCGUCUCCGUCUCCGCGGCUGUCUGUUGAUAAAUCUGGAGCCAGCACUAGUGGUGGAGGUGCGGCUAUGUAUCAGACUAGGCCGAGCGUGUCGGUGGAGAAGAAAGGGGUUGAGUACGAAGUGCACGUUGUCGAGAAGACGGUUGUUGAAGAUGGCGGAAACGAGAGCAAUGCCACGGCGACACGUGGAGGAGGAGGAGGAGGUGGGCCACGUGCGGUGCCUGAGGUUGCUAAAGAGAUUGAGAAUCAGUUCCUGAAAGCUGCGGAGUCAGGAAGUGAGAUCGCUAAGUUACUUGAAGUUGGGAAGCGUCCUUACGGUCGGAAACAUGGUAAUAAAACUUUUCAGUUUUGUCCGAAUGAUCUUGUGAUCUUUCAAUAAUUAAGUAAAAAAUGAAACUUUUUGUUUGGACCAGCUUCUUCGCAGUUGUUGCACGGGGUUACUCCUUCUGUUGCUGAGCCGCCAACGUAUGCAGACAUUGAAGAAGAGCUUGCUUCGAGGUCAAGGAACCUUUCUUCCACAUUGCACAAACUCCAUCUCUGGGAGAAGAAGCUUUACCGAGAAGUGAAGGUAACGUUAAUCUCUUAUAACACUCCGAUGUGUUUCAGCUCCUUUGUCUGAAUAAAGCUUCUACUCUUGUCUAGGCUGAGGAAAAAUUGCGUGUAGCUCACGAGAAGAAGGUAAGGAAGCUAAAGCGUUUGGAUGAAAGAGGUGCUGAAGCUAACAAAGUGGAUACAACAAGGAAGCUAGUAAGAGACAUGAACACAAAGAUACGGAUUGCGAUUCAGGUUGUGGAUAAAAUCUCUGUGACUAUUAAUAAGAUUAGAGAUGAAGAUCUAUGGCCGCAACUCAAUGCAUUGAUCCAAGGGUAAUAAUAACCUUGCCCCUACAUGUUUUUAGAUAUUUGCGUUUGGAGAUGUUGAUUCUGUGUUUGGUUUGCUUCUCAGGCUUACAAGGAUGUGGAAAGAGAUGCUAGAGUGUCAUCAGAUUCAGUGCCAGGCUAUAAAGGAAGCUAGAGGGCUAGGGUCUAUAAGAGCUAGCAAGAAGCUAGGCGAUGAGCAUCUUGAAGCAACUAGUUUGCUUGGUCAUGAGCUUAUAAACUGGAUAUUAGGAUUCUCUAGCUGGGUUAGUGCGCAGAAAUGUUAUGUAAGGGAGUUGAAUAAAUGGCUCAUGAAGUGUCUUCUCUAUGAACCUGAGGAAACAGCCGAUGGUAUCGCUCCUUUUUCGCCUGGUCGGCUUGGUGCUCCACCGAUCUUUGUGAUCUGUAACCAAUGGUCUCAAGCUUUGGACAGGAUCUCCGAGAAGGAAGUGAUUGAGGCAAUGCGUAGCUUCACCACGAGUGUGCUUCAGCUUUGGGAACAAGAUCGGUUAGAAACGACGGUGAUGGGGCAGGAGAAAGUUAGGAGCAUGGACCGGGAAGAGCAGAGGAUACACAGGGAGAUUCAAGCGCUGGAAAAGAAAAUGGUUCUGGUUGCACCUGGUGAUGGUCUUUUGGUAUCUGGGAACGUUGUUUACCAGAGUGAUACUAGUAGCGAUAGUUUACAAGGUAGUUUGCAGAGGAUUUUUGAAGCUAUGGAGAGGUUCACUGAUGAGUGUAUGAGAGCUUAUGAUGAUCUCUUGGUGCGUGCUGAAGAAGUAACUGCUCCGAGAGAAAGUGAGGAAUGAUAAACAAAACUAGAGGAAGAUCUUUGCUUGAUCUUGCAAUGGUGGAACCAACCAGAAUCAUCUGCGUCUCAUUCUGAGCCUCAUGCAUGAAGAGCCCCACAAGUGGAUGAUGAUCUAAGAGGAGGCAUAAUCCUUGUAAAAAGACGGCCAGUUCUAUGGUUAAGAGAUACGGUUUAGUGCAAAUUGACUUUGAACCGGAUGGUUAACAUAAACCAUAUAUGAGGCAGGUAGCAUAUAUUAGUUAAGUUCUAAUAAUUUUUAUAUUCAGGCAAUGUACAUUAGGCGUUUAGGACUAAACUUUUGACGAUUCUCAGCAAUUAUUUUUGUAGAAUCCGAGGGUAGCUCAGGGAAGUCUCUCUUUCUUUUGAAGUACUAAAGAUGUGACCUUUUGGUUGCAGAAACUAGAUUACCCUAAGCAGCAUUGAGCUUCUCACUAAUCCAGGUUAUUAGUACUAGUAUUUAACAUGUGACCUUUUGUUUUGUCGCAUUAUUCUCCCUGUAUAUGUAUUUUGCUCACAUGAUAAAUUUUGUAUAAAAAAAAGAAGAAAGUUAUCAUGAAGUGGGAAAAAUGGGUGAAUGAUUUACGUUUUCUCGUUGUAAGAAAUUUUUUGUUUGAUAAUAUGCAAAUUAUGCAUGCCUGUAAAAGUUACUAGGCAUAAGAAUAAAGACAUAAUCAUUUUAUGAGAAGUUACAAACUAUUUCCAAUCAUUUACCUGACCAGCUUUAAACAUUAAUGAUUCAUGUGAGUAAACUAUACUCCCUCCGUUUCAUAAUACUUGAUCUUUUGUAAUAAUGCACAAAGAUUAAGAAAAUUACAUUUCUCUAGAAAAAUAUUUUAAAGAUAUAAUUUUAAAUUCAGUUAACCAAUUAUAAAAAAAACUGUAAAAUCUAAUUGGUUGAACAGUUUCCAAUAAAGUUAAAGUUAACCAUAAAAUCUCAAAACUUCCUUAAAAUCUCAAAACUUCAUGUAAAUUGAAACAAAACAAACCUUCUAAAACAUCAUCUAUAUUGAAACGGAGGGAGUAUAAUAAACCCACCCAAUGGUCCAUUCUUUUUUUCAGUUAGUCCCUGCGCCAAUAGUUAACGACUUUGUGUUGCUGUGCCAAACAUGAUUAGCGUGAACUUGACGUCUCGUGUGUCAAUCUAUAUGUCCUGUUUGUUUGUUGCAAAAGUAAUAAAUUGAAAAAAUUAUGUACCAUGAAGAGAAUAAGAGUGCCAUUAGUUAUUGUUGUGACCCAACCAGAACCAUGUAUUUAUUACAAAUUAGAGAUAGUGCUUGAGCAUCUAAUCAUAUAAGAAAUGCAAUUACAUAGGAGAAUCUUUGGAUAACUUCACUCUCUUCCUUUUCUACACAAAAGAGACAGCUCUUGUGUCCUCGAAAGCCUGAUUCUCUGUUUCAUUCUCCAAAGCUAAUAAUAGGAAACAAACAUUGCAAGAACUUUUCAUUGGCAUACAUCCACGUUGAGAAUAUACAAACUACUUUUCUCGCCGUUGAUCCAUUUUCUUGACCAUGAAUUUUAGUCUAGCGGUCUAUAUCAUAAAGCACUGUAUAACCAUAUCUAACUCAAAUGUGGUAAUCUGCAAUAUGCGUUUUAACUGUAAACAAAUCACAAUUUAAAUAAAAUUUUAACACUUAGCCAUAUUAGUUUAUGUGGCUUCCAAAAAUAGAUGGUAACACAUUCAGAGUGAAGAACUUUUUUUUGGUUUCAGAGUUUCAAAAGUUAACUUCUUAAAAUGUAAAUAUGUCACAGUCUGUUCAAACCCUUUAAAGAAAAUUGAUUUUCACAUUACUCUAAUUAGAAGGCACGUCAAUAAUCCAGAAAUGUCACACGGUUUCAUAGGUCAGCUACAUAAAAAAAGAAUCUUAAAUGAAAAAUGAAUAAAAAGCGAGAAAGAAAGUAGGAAUGGUUGAUGAUAAGGCACUCCAAUCACAAAACACAUUGAGCUGGCGAUAAUGAUAUUUUCCCAAAAAUCUUACAGUAUUUGGUACCACAAAGUGUUUAUCAUUAUCAAUAACAUAGGAAUCAAUUUAUAUUGUAAUAUAGUAUAGUAUAUACAGAAAAGAAGUUGACUUGUGCUGUUUUUUUUUUUUUGCCUUUUCAAUUUUCAAAUCCAUUGGUUAAACAUUUAGAAACUCAUAAAUCCUACUAAAACAUAAAGAGAUGCAUACUUCAGAGUUGACCUUAUAAAAUCUUUGUUUUAUAGACCUUAUAAAUUCUAAAAUCUUAUUUUUACCGCUGAUAUAUUAAAUUUAUAAUUAUAAAGUUUUCCCAACUUUUUAUUUUAUUUUGUAGUGGUACCAUAUUGACAAGUAGGAGACAAUGUCUCAGAAACUUACCACAGGAGUCAAAAAGACAAACUUAAAAAAAGAGAACAAUUUUUAUUUUAUUUCCAUUAAUAUCUUCUCUUCUCUCUCUCUCUCUCUAUUACAAGAAGCAAAAGAUAAACACUUUCCGACAAGCCAGAGAAAAAGAUUGGAACCUUCAUUUCAUGGGUUGUUGUCAAUCCUUGUGUCCGGAUGAACAAAACCCACUUCGGAAAGAUGGAGCUCAGCCGCCACAACCGGCUCAAACCCACCGCGGCGGCGCUACGACGGCUGCUGGACUCGAUAACGGCGGAGAUGGAGGAGUAAUCCCGUCUUUCUCAGAGUUCUCUUUGGCCGACCUAAAAGCAGCCACGAACAACUUCAGCUCAGACAACAUCGUAUCAGAAAGCGGAGAGAAAGCCCCGAAUCUUGUAUACAAAGGCAGACUUCAGAACCGUCGCUGGAUCGCCGUCAAGAAGUUUACUAAGAUGGCUUGGCCUCAUCCU